CCCUUAGAUGUUCUGGGCCGCACGCGCGCUACACUGAUGCAUUCAACGAGUCUAAAACCUGGUCUGAUAGGGCUGGGUAAUCUUUUGAAUGUGCAUCGUGAUUGGGAUAGAUGAUUGCAAUUCUUCAUCUUCAACGAGGAAUGCCUAGUAAACGCAAGUCAUCAGCUUGCAUUGAUUACGUCCCUGCCCUUUGUACACACCGCCCGUCGCUCCUACCGAUUGAAUGUUCCGAUGAAUACCAUGGACUGAGAGUAUGAAUGGGUUCGCCUAUUUCUGCUUCUCGGGAAGUGGAGUAAAUCUUAACAUUUAGAGGAAGGAGAAGUCGUAAUA
rnacentral:rRNA from 1 species